GGAAGGAGAAGAAACGACAGAGAAAUGAGAAACAGAGGAUGCAGAAAAGAGAAAAAAGCAGCGUGUGAAACUCCUGAGGUGUCGAAGAUAAAGAUGCAUUUGCUGAGGGCCUUGUCUAAAGCAGCUGCGGGGGCUAUCUGCCAAAAGAACCACUCCCACUCCAUCCAGCCUUUUCAUUGUCUAUUCAGCAUCUCCAAAUGUGAGCAUGUUUUUUUCCCCUUCUCAAUUCCCAGUAUUAUCUCACCUCACUCAUCUCCCCAACUCUCUGUGUGCCCAUUUGUUUCUUUCCCUCAGACUAUCUCUUCCCCUCUCCCUCUUCUCUUCCUUACGGACACUACAAAGAGCGGAGCCACUGACAGUGAUAAGGAAAAACCCUCCAACAAAGCAGACCCAUUUGUUAAUAAGAAGUCGAGAAGGCACACGGUUCCCACUGCUCAGUGCUUUUCCUGGCUGGCUCCGCUCUUUGUUUUGGUUUCUGGUCCUUCCCUUUUCCUUUCUCCGUGUUUUUUUGGCUGUUCCCACUGCUAUAUCAGUGUCCACACUGUUAUCAUGACUCUUCACUGUACAUGUGUGUCAUUUCCUGUCGCAAAUGUGUCUAGGGGAAAUGCGAAAAACAUAAACUAUAAGAGGUAUCUGUUUGGGUCGGUGCAGAAUGUCACACAGGAGCGUCAGAGUACGGAAAUAAACCCCCUCCAACCAUCACUCUUAACCCGGGGGUUACAUAACACUGAGGAGCUGAGGUGGUGGGGGUCACAUGACUCUCAGCAGGUUGCACCUUGGGUCAUUUACCCCGGGAAUACAGCUUAUAAUAUCUUCUACACAUUACUCCUGUUCCGGCUGCCUUACAUAGCUCCCUAUAGAACACAGGAUAGAAUUUCAAAU